GUGUUCAUAGAAAGGAGAGACGGUUCAAAUCUCCACCAUCAGGGACAGGUACAGCCUUCAGGCUUACCUGUUACCAGACACAUCCGGUUAAGGUUACCCACUUCAGUAGAUCUUAACGCAAUUUUCU